rnacentral:rRNA from 1 species
UACGAAGGGGGCUAGCGUUGCUCGGAAUCACUGGGCGUAAAGCGCACGUAGGCGGAUUGUUAAGUCAGGGGUGAAAUCCUGGAGCUCAACUCCAGAACUGCCUUUGAUACUGGCGAUCUCGAGUCCGGGAGAGGUGAGUGGAACUGCGGGUGUAGAGGUGAAAUUCGUAGAUAUUCGCAAGAACGCCAGUGGCGAAGGCGGCGCACUGGCCCGGUACUGACGCUGAGGUGCGAAAGCGUGGGGAGCAAACGGG